AUUGAACGCUGGCGGCAUGCCUUACACAUGCAAGUCGAACGGUAACAGGUCUUCGGAUGCUGACGAGUGGCGAACGGGUGAGUAAUACAUCGGAACGUGCCCGAUCGUGGGGGAUAACGGAGCGAAAGCUUUGCUAAUACCGCAUACGAUCUACGGAUGAAAGCAGGGGACCGCAAGGCCUUGCGCGGACGGAGCGGCCGAUGGCAGAUUAGGUAGUUGGUGGGAUAAAAGCUUACCAAGCCGACGAUCUGUAGCUGGUCUGAGAGGACGACCAGCCACACUGGGACUGAGAUACGGUCCAGACUCCUACGGGAGGCAGCAGUAGGGAAUAUUGGGCAAUGGGCGGAAGCCUGACCCAGCCAUGCCGCGUGAAGGAAGACGGCCUUAUGGGUUGUAAACUUCUUUACUAUGCGACUAACUAGAUUUACGAGAUAAUUCUAUAGAAUGUAGCAUAGCAAAAAAGCACCGGCUAACUCCGUG
rnacentral:rRNA from 1 species